rnacentral:lncRNA from 1 species
UCCUUGUUAAUUAAAUUGAUCCAGAGUGCUCUGGUCCUAAGUUAACUGUUAAUAUUAUAUUUUUAUUCUCCAGAGUGCUCUGGUCCUAUGCUUUUAUUUUCAUUACUCCUUAGUUUAAUUUUCAUUUACUAUUCAAAAACAACAAAAACAUUCAAAUAUCAAAAAUCACAAAAACAUUUUCAUAACAAACCUUGAUUCUCAAAUCAAGUGAUCGUUCUUUUUAUUUUCUUUCUUAAUCAAAUUUCAAAUC